rnacentral:misc_RNA from 1 species
UGGUUCUGGCAUCGAUGAAGAACGCAGCGAAAUGCGAUAAGUAAUGUGAAUUGCAGAAUUCAGUGAAUCAUCGAAUCUUUGAACGCACAUUGCGCCCGCCAGUAUUCUGGCGGGCAUGCCUGUUCGAGCGUCAUUUCAACCCUCAAACCCCGCAUUUUCCGGGGCUUGGAGUUGGGGAUCGGCUCCUCCCGCCCCGAGCGGUGCAGGAGGGGCCGGCCCCGAAAAUCAGUGGCGGUCCCGCCGUAGCGUCCUCUGCGUAGUAGCAACACCUCGCACCGGAUCUCGGCGCGGCCAUGCCGUAAAAUUGCUGCGCGCCAGCGCAACAUUUCUGAAGGUUGACCUCGGAUCAGGUAGGAAUACCCGCUGA